rnacentral:tRNA from 1 species
GCGGCAAUAGCUCAGUUGGUAGAGCACGACCUUGCCAAGGUCUGUGUCGCGAGUUCGAGUCUCGUUUCCCGCUUCA